rnacentral:rRNA from 1 species
AGUUUGAUCCUGGCUCAGAACGAACGCUGGCGGCAGGCCUAACACAUGCAAGUCGAACGGAGUUAUAUUGUAGCUUGCUAUGGUAUAACUUAGUGGCAGACGGGUGAGUAAUGUAUAGGAAUCUACCUAGUAGUACGGAAUAAUUGUUGGAAACGGCAACUAAUACCGUAUACGCCCUACGGGGGAAAAAUUUAUUGCUAUUAGAUGAGCCUAUAUUAGAUUAGCUAGUUGGUGGAGUAAUAGCCUACCAAGGCAAUGAUCUAUAGCUGAUCUGAGAGGAUGAUCAGCCACACUGGAACUGAGAUACGGUCCAGACUCCUACGGGAGGCAGCAGUGGGGAAUAUUGGACAAUGGGCGAAAGCCUGAUCCAGCCAUGCCGCAUGAGUGAAGAAGGCCUUUGGGUUGUAAAGCUCUUUUAGUGAGGAAGAUAAUGACGGUACUCACAGAAGAAGUCCUGGCUAACUCCGUGCCAGCAGCCGCGGUAAUACGGAGAGGGCUAGCGUUAUUCGGAAUUAUUGGGCGUAAAGGGCGCGUAGGCGGAUUAGUAAGUUAAAAGUGAAAUCCCAAGGCUCAACCUUGGAAUUGCUUUUAAAACUGCUAAUCUAGAGAUUGAAAGAGGAUAGAGGAAUUCCUAGUGUAGAGGUGAAAUUCGUAAAUAUUAGGAGGAACACCAGUGGCGAAGGCGUCUAUCUGGUUCAAAUCUGACGCUGAGGCGCGAAGGCGUGGGGAGCAAACAGGAUUAGAUACCCUGGUAGUCCACGCUGUAAACGAUGAAUGUUAAAUAUGGGAAGUUUUACUUUCUGUAUUACAGCUAACGCGUUAAACAUUCCGCCUGGGGACUACGGUCGCAAGAUUAAAACUCAAAAGAAUUGACGGGGACCCGCACAAGCGGUGGAGCAUGUGGUUUAAU